AUGGCUCAGGAUGAACGCUGGCGGCGUGCUUAACACAUGCAAGUCGAACGGGACUUUGGAGCUUGCUCCGGAAGUUCAGUGGCGGACGGGUGAGUAACGCGUGGGUAACCUGCCGCAUGCAGGGGGACAACAGUUGGAAACGACUGCUAAUACCGCAUAAGCGCACGGGACCGCAUGGUCCAGUGUGAAAAGAUUUAUCGGCAUGCGAUGGACCCGCGUCCGAUUAGCCAGUUGGCGGGGUAACGGCCCACCAAAGCUACGAUCGGUAGCCGGCCUGAGAGGGUGAACGGCCACAUUGGGACUGAGACACGGCCCAAACUCCUACGGGAGGCAGCAGUGGGGAAUAUUGCACAAUGGGGGAAACCCUGAUGCAGCGACGCCGCGUGAGUGAUGAAGUAUUUCGGUACGUAAAGCUCUAUCAGCAGGAAAGAAAAUGACGGUACCUGACUAAGAAGCCCCGGCUAACUACGUGCCAGCCGCCGC
rnacentral:rRNA from 1 species